AUGACAGUGUCGCGGCGGGUGCUCGUGCUCGUCCGCCUCUCACCGGCCUCCCUCGCCGUCCUUGGUGCCCGCUUUCACCUCCUCGACCUCCACGCCUCGCCGCUACCCAUGGACGCAUUCCUCGCGGCCGCAGCUGCCGACAACGACGACCCACCGCGUGCUGCCCUUAUCCCUGGCCAUGGGAGCGUCUGCGUCGACGCGGCGUUCCUCGACGCCGUCCCGUCGCUGCGCUGCGUCCUGUUCAACAGUGCAGGGUUGGACCACGUUGACCUCCUCGAAUGCGAGCGCCGCGGGGUCGGCGUGGCCAACGCCACAGGGGUCUACUCGGCCGACGUCGCUGACUACGCCGUAGGCCUCCUGAUCGAUGUGCUCCCGCGCGUGUCUGCGUCCGACAGGCACGUCCGGCGCGGACACUGGCCGGAGCGCGGCGGCCACGGGUUCACGCUCGGCAGGAAGCGCGUGGGCAUCAUCGGGCUUGGCAGCAUCGGGUCGGCGAUCGCCACGAGGUUGGAGGCGUUCAACUGCGCCGUCUCCUACCACUCACGCCGCCAGAAAAGCAAUGUCCCCUACUGCUACUACCCGACCGCCCGCGACCUUGCUGAGUGCUCCGACGUGCUCGUCGUCACGUGCCCUUUGACCGCCGAGACCCGACACAUCGUCGACAGGCGUGUGCUGGACGCCCUGGGGAGCGGCGGCGUCGUGGUUAACGUGGCGCGCGGCGCGAACGUCGACGAGGUGGAGCUCGUGAGGGCGCUCGCGGAGGGAAGGAUCACCGGCGCCGGGCUUGACGUGUUCGAGCACGAGCCCGACGUUCCGCCCGAGCUGCUGGCCAUGGAAAACGUGGUGCUGACACACCACCAGGCCGCCUUCACCCCGGAGUCCGUGGCAGACCUGGACCGCCUCUUCGUGGACAACCUCGAGGCCUUCUUCCGAGGCUCGCCGUUGCUUACGCCCGUCGUCGUCUACGACUGA
rnacentral:rRNA from 1 species